rnacentral:misc_RNA from 1 species
AUGAACAUUGUUCAUUCUCACUGUCAUUUUUAUAUAAGGAUUUAUUGACCUGUACUAAAUAUGCAAUAUUUCUAACUCUUAUUGACCCUCAUCUCUAAAUGGCAUACAUACAUAUACUUUUUUUUAUAUUAUCAGGUUUUACAUAGGCUAAUUUUCAUAUGUUCAAUAGAAUGUUUUCCCUUAUCAAAUAAAUUCAUUUUAUUUAUUUGAGUUAUGUAAAGAAAUAUAAUUGUGUUAAAAAUGUAUAUAUGUCAUCAUCAUGGUUGUUUAUCAUGAUUGUUCAUUUGUGAAAAAUUAAAAAAAAGAAUUACCCCU